rnacentral:rRNA from 1 species
GACGAACGCUGGCGGCGUGCUUAACACAUGCAAGUCGAACGGAAAGGCCCUGCUUUUGUGGGGUGCUCGAGUGGCGAACGGGUGAGUAACACGUGAGUAACCUGCCCUUGACUUUGGGAUAACUUCAGGAAACUGGGGCUAAUACCGGAUAGGAGCUCCUGCUGCAAGGUGGGGGUUGGAAAGUUUCGGCGGUUGGGGAUGGACUCGCGGCUUAUCAACUUGUUGGUGGGGUAGUGGCUUACCAAGGCUUUGACGGGUAGCCGGCCUGAGAGGGUGACCGGCCACAUUGGGACUGAGAUACGGCCCAGGCUCCUACGGGAGGCAGCAGUGGGGAAGAUUGAACAAUGGGCGGCAGCCUGAUGCAGAAAGGCCGCGUGCGGGAUGACGGCCUUCGGGUUGUAAACCGCUUUCGCCUGUGACGAAGCGUGAGUGACGGUAAUGGGUAAAGAAGCACCGGCUAACUACGUGC